GGUGAGAUGGCCGAGUUGGUUAUGGCGCCAGGGUGAGCAAAAUCAUGUGACUCUCAAUUUAGAUUAUGUACUAACAAUUGCACAGUUAAGGCAUACCUUAGCAUUAAUUCCUGGUCACGAAAGUGGCGUGGGUUCGAGUCCCACUCUCAUCA
rfam:Clohesyomyces aquaticus strain CBS 115471 BCR34scaffold_106, whole genome shotgun sequence.